UCCCUGAUGUUAGCGGCGGACGGGUGAGUAACACGUGGGUAACCUGCCUGUAAGACUGGGAUAACUCCGGGAAACCGGGGCUAAUACCGGAUGGUUGUUUGAACCGCAUGGUUCAAACAUAAAAGGUGGCUUCGGCUACCACUUACAGAUGGACCCGCGGCGCAUUAGCUAGUUGGUGAGGUAACGGCUCACCAAGGCAACGAUGCGUAGCCGACCUGAGAGGGUGAUCGGCCACACUGGGACUGAGACACGGCCCUGACUCCUACGGGAGGCAGCAGUAGGGAAUCUUCCGCAAUGGACGAAAGUCUGACGGAGCAACGCCGCGUGAGUGAUGAAGGUUUUCGGAUCGUAAAGCUCUGUUGUUAGGGAAGAACAAGUACCGUUCGAAUAGGGCGGUACCUUGACGGUACCUAACCAGAAAGCCACGGCUAACUACGUGCCAGCAGCCGCGGUAAUACGUAGGUGGCAAGCGUUGUCCGGAAUUAUUGGGCGUAAAGGGCUCGCAGGCGGUUUCUUAAGUCUGAUGUGAAAGCCCCCGGCUCAACCGGGGAGGGUCAUUGGAAACUGGGGAACUUGAGUGCAGAAGAGGAGAGUGGAAUUCCACGUGUAGCGGUGAAAUGCGUAGAGAUGUGGAGGAACACCAGUGGCGAAGGCGACUCUCUGGUCUGUAACUGACGCUGAGGAGCGAAAGCGUGGGGAGCAAACAGGAUUAGAUACCCUGGUAGUCCACGCCGUAAACGAUGAGUGCUAAGUGUUAGGGGGUUUCCGCCCCUUAGUGCUGCAGCUAACGCAUUAAGCACU
rnacentral:rRNA from 1 species